CAUGUAAUAAGCAAAAUUUACAACAAAUACUUCAUAAAAUACCCCCUAUCUAUCUCAAUUCACUUGGCUUCGCUAAACACAUUUUUAAUAACAUUUAUUCAUCAUUAUUAUAACGCACAUUAUUAACAACCAGAUCAUUCACAGAAAAGAGGGGGCUUAUUGGCGCGCAAUUAGGUGACCAAACCCCUUUUCUCGACAGAACUUUCUAGACAUCGUCAAUAAUGCAAAUAAUAAUAUGAAUAACUUUGUCAUCUCAAUUAUUGAUUUAAUAAUAUAAAAUAUUGUAACAAUAAUUGAAUCAAUAACGUGAAAUACUAUACAACAAUUAUUGUGGCAAUAAUUGAAUAAAACUGAGUGACUUCUCAUUAGACCUGGCAAACAGGCCGGGCUAGCCCAAACGGGCCAGGCCAAAAUGGCCCAAGUUUUGGUGGGAUAGAAUUAAGUGGCCCGUGGCCCGAGUUGGGCCAGGCCGGCCCAGCCCGCGGACUUUUUCUAAUUUUUUUUAAAAAAAAUUCUGUAAAUCAACCAGCUCAAACCUCAGUAUUGAUAAACAUAUAAAGAAUAAUUGGUUCAACUUAAUAUAUUCCUCACUGUAAAUGUUGAAAUAGAUAGAUUAACGAUAACACAGCUAAAGAAAAUGACACUGUUGUUUUCUCUAAAUGACAUUCCUCACUGCAUGACAUUCCUCAGUCCUCACUGCAUCUGCUCUGUAAAAUAAGCUCCAAAUACAUGCUUGCAAUCCCAUCUUCUCCGUCCAAGAAUGGCAUGACAUCCUGUGCAGAAAGAUUCAUAAAUGUGUACGCAGUAGUUGCAUUGCAUAAAUGAACAAUAGUGGCCUUCAUUGUAUACAGUAUAUUCCUUCCCAAAAAUUAGUAUAUAUUUACACAUUUUUUUCUUGAAUUCUGAUAAUGAAUACUUUACUUAGAACAAACAAAUAAAGGAAACCUUUUUUGCCAUCUUGCAGUUUACUUAGAACAACCAAAUUGGAUUUAUCUUGCAGUUUGUGACUGUACACAAGAUAACCUUUUCUUAGUACUUGAAAAAUCAAACAAAAAUCAAUGAAAUAGUUCAUAAAAAAUGAAGAAUCAAACCUUGAAGAAAAGGAUCAUUAGGGUGUUGGAAAAUGCAUGAAACAUUGUUCUGAAUCAGAAAACAAAAAAACAUCAAGAUGCCACCUGCAAACUUAAGGAAUUAGAGAGGCUAAAACUUAUGCAAGACAUGGGACACGCUGAAUAUCAUAUACAUAUAACAAUAUAUGUUCAACCCAAAUUAAAUUAAUCCCCAUAUCAUCAUUCAUUCAUACUCAACUGUCCACCCUUAAAUCUAAAAUUAGCAGAAAUUAAGUAGCAUCUAGUUCACUAUUUACUUUAAAUGAUUAAAUUGUUUUAAUUUAUAUAAAAAGUAAAAAUAUGUAUGGAACAUAAUUUCCUUAAAGUAGAUGGUAUAUAUACUUUAUAACAUAUUAUUAGGUUAAUUAAAUUCCAUUUGAACCUCUGUAGUUCAAGGGAUAACCAAACACUACCCAUACGAACAAAUUCCGGCAUUAAACAGAAACUCACAAAUGGUCAUAGAAAGAGGAAAAAAAGCUCUAAACAAAUCAUCAAUUUCGGAACUAGCAAUAGCGUACAUGAAUGUAUAUAUUUAUAUUCAGAAUGUGGUUCAGAGAAUCGUCAAAAAUGAUAUUAGAAAGGGAAAAGAAAAGAUACAAAUGGUUAGACCCAAGUUUCGAUAGUUAGUCUUUGCCCAAUUUCCUUCUCAUUCUUCUUCUUCCCCAUUUCUACGACUUUACUGUGUCCUUGGGUACUAAUUGAACAUACUCGACAAACAUGUGUUUUUGGUAUUUAUAGUCUUUUCUCGCAUAACAUAAACCGGAUUUUUCAAAAAAUUAUAGAAAUAGUACUCCCAGAUUCAAAAAAAGUAGAAAAUUACCCAGAUUCCAGAGAGAAAUUGGUCUCACAGAAUGAGGAUUUGGAUUCGGGAUGAAGAGAAGAAGCUACACAGUCGGCGUGGUCGAUCGAUCGAAAGUUUGGAUUUCCCAGCCGGCAGUCGUCGUUGUCUCGCUGUCUCAUACUCUCAUUUUCAGAUCUAGAUCUAAAAAAAGUCCCUUUUAAUUUAUUAUGCCUUAGCCAAGUCGAUUAGACCCCUUAGGGAGAUUACAUAGCCAGAUUACAGAUAAUGAUUUUUU
rnacentral:lncRNA from 1 species